GCCAUGAUUGGAGGGUUGUUCAUCUAUAAUCACAAAGGGGAGGCGCUCCUCUCCCGGGUGUACCGAGAUGACAUUGGGAGGAAUGCAGUGGGUGCCUUUCGGGUCAAUGUUAUCCAUGCUCAGCAGCAGGUGCGCAGCCCCGUCACCAGCAUCGCUCGUACCAGUUUCUUCCAUGUUAAGCGGUCUAACAUCUGGCUGGCAGCUGUCACCAAGCAGAAUGUCAAUGCCGCCAUGGUCUUCUAAUUCCUCUAUAAGAUGUGUGAUGUAAUGGCUGCUUACUUUGGCAAGAUCAGUGAAGAGAACAUCAAGAACAAUUUUGUGCUCAUAUACGAGCUGCUGGAUGAGAUCCUGGACUUUGGCUGUCCACAGAACUCUGAGACUGGGGCGCUGAAAUCCUUCAUCACUCAGCAGGGCAUCAAGAGCCAGCAUCAGACGAAGGAAGAGCAGUCCCAGAUCGCCAGGUGACGGGGCACAUUGGCUGGCGUCGGGAAGGCAGCAAGGAUCGCCGAAACGAGCUCUUCCUGGACGUGCUGGAGAGUGUCAGCCUGCUCAUGUCUCCGCAAGGGCAGGUGCUGAGUGCCCACGUGUCUGGCCGGGUGGUGGUGAAGAGCUACCUGAGUGGCACGCCCAAGUGCAAGUUUGGCAUGAAUGACAAGAUUGUCGUCGAGAAGCAGGGCAAAGGCACAGCUGACGAAACCAGCAAGAGUGGGAAGCAAUCAAUUGCCAUCGAUGGUUGUACCUUCCACCAGUGUGUGCGACUCAGCAAGUUUGACUCUGAACGCAGCAUCAGCUUGAUCCCACCAGAUGGAGAGUUUGAGCUCAUGAGGUAUCGCACCACCAAGGACAUCAUCCUUCCUUUCCGAGUGAUCCCACUGGUGCGGGAAGUGGGGCGCACCAAGCUGGAGGUCAAGGUGGUCAUCAAGUCCAACUUCAAGCCCUCAUUACUUGCCCAAAAAAUUGAGGUGAGGAUUCCAACUCCACUGAAUACAAGCGGGGUGCAGGUGAUCUGCAUGAAAGGCAAGGCCAAGUACAAGGCCAGUGAGAAUGCCAUCGUGUGGAAGAUCAAGAGAAUGGCGGGCAUGAAGGAAUCACAGAUCAGCGCUGAGAUUGAGCUUCUGCCUACCAACGACAAGAAGAAAUGGGCACGACCCCCUAUUUCCAUGAACUUUGAGGUGCCAUUCGCACCUUCUGGCCUCAAGGUGCGCUUCUUGAAGGUGUUUGAACCGAAGCUGAACUACAGCGACCAUGAUGUCAUCAAAUGGGUGCGCUACAUUGGCCGCAGCGGCAUCUAUGAGACCCGCUGCUAGCUGCUCAGCGGCAGCUAGCCUGCCUCCCCACCCAGUCUCGUCCACAGGCCCAGGCCCCCAGCUACUGCACAUCAGUGUCUCCUCUCCUGCUUUGCUGCCUUCCCUUUGCACCAGCCCCUGCGUCUAGGUCUGGACCAACCCCACUGCAAGCGAGACUGGUGGGGCAGUCCCUGGGCUCCCCGGGCUGGGGGCUUUCUGGGGCUCCUGUUCCUCCAGCUGUUGGCCCUGGCCCAGUGCCAGGCUCUGUUCUGAGUUCUGUGACCAAAGCCAGGUGGGGCCCCUCUCCUCCCGACCCCUGUGGCCACAUCUCUCUGGAGUGAGAGGGUUGGCUGCCCCUCACCUCAAAGCUUCCCCGAAGGCCAGUAACAGAACCCCAGCCCUCAGUCCCUACUCUGCAUUGGGAUAAUGUGAGCUUCAUUUUGUACACGUGUGACUUUGUC